UUUUCUUUUACCAGCAAAUGCGUUUAUUCUCCACAAGCAGAGGACCAAAGCAAAAGGUCAAACCCCUCUCUCCCAGUCGGCCUUCCGAGAGCAGCUGGUGUUGGAAAUGACUGAAUUGGGGGCCCAAAGCAACUCAACCAUCACAAGACUCAAGAUCCACAGAUGACGCAAUCUCUAUUGCACUCCACACUGCCCUUUCCUAUCUGGACAAAAGGAACACCUACAUGAGAAUGCUGUUCAUUGAUUACAGCUCAGCGUUCAACACCAUACUGCCCUCCAUGCUCAAGACCCUGGGACUGAACACCUCCCUCUGCAACUGGAUCCUGGACUUCCUGACUGGCCGCUCCCAGUUGGUGAGGGUUUGCCGACGACACAAUGGUGGUAGGCCUGAUCGCCGACGACGAUGAGACAGCUUAUAGAGAG
rnacentral:lncRNA from 1 species